AUUCUUUUGUGGUUCAUAAGUGUGAUGAUUAGGUUUUCAUACUCUUGUGAGAUGUGCCUUCCUCAAAUUUUGUUACAGUGUUUGCAUAUUACCCAUCAGCCA
ensembl:snoRNA